GUGAUGCUCCCACCUCAGCCUACCAAGUAGCUAGGACUACAGCUUGGGAAAGUUCCUAGACAUCAGGAAAUCAGCAUGUUCUCAAGCAAAUACACUUGAUAGACAUUCAUCUCAGCAGGAUAAAUAUCUACAGGAGAAAAUCAUGAAGCUACCAGAAUGUGGCCAAAGGGAAAAAUAUCCUAUGAUCAUUCCAGAUUUUUUGUGUUGGUUCUCCUCUCCUAUUCCCAUCCCAUCCCUGGAGAAAACAAUAAGGCAAAGUUUCCCGUUUUUUUUUUUUUUUUUUUUUGAGACAGGAUCUCCCUCCGCCACCUAGACUGGAGUGUAGUAAGCCUAUCUCCGCUCACUGCAGCCUCAAGCAGUCCUCCAACCUAAGCCUCCCAAGUAGCUGGGACUACAGAGACAUACCACUACGCUAAUUUUUUAGUUUUUGUUUGUUUGUUUGUUUUUGUAGAGACAGGGUCUCACUAUGUUGCCCAGGCUGGUCUUGAACCCCUGGGCUCAAAUGAUCCUCCUUCCUCGGCCUCCCAAAAUUUUGGGAUUACAGACAUGAGCGACCACAUCCAGUGCAAAUUUUUUUAUACCAAGGCAAAGAUGAUCAUGCAAAAGAAACUAAUGAAUGAACAAGCCGUUGGAACAAAAACAAUUUGUUAAUGCUUCCCUGGCCUUACAAAUACUGGAGUGGUAAUGGGUGGAAUCCAUUCUAUUAAAAUAGAAUGGAUUUUAAAUGUGUGGGGGUUUAGAUAUUCUUCUACCACCUCUGAUUUUUCUGGAAACCAUUACAGUUCCACAAUCCUUUUCCCUCCAGGUGAUCUGGGUCACUUUCAUCACUUUCAUCACUAUCAGUUCAUCCACUAUUUGCACCAUUUGGCCAGCUAAGAGUUGGCUAAAAGUGCAGCCAGGUGUGUCGUAAUGAUGCAAGACUAUAGCAGUAUAAUCCCCAUGAUGCAUUCACAGGAUGCAUUACAGAGAAGGGGAAGGAAAGAGUGCAAUUCCAAGAUGAACUUUGACUUGCAACCCACACUCCCUUCAACAAACAGCUUUAAGUAAAUCUUGGAAAUAUUGUUCAAAAUACAUGUGACAAAACGUGACCAUCUUUCCUCUGUUACGUGGCGGGUAUGAUCCUUUCUGUAUUCCUAACAUCUCUCAAUUUGGGUUGAAUGUGCAGUCCCUAAGUCAUAAGCAAGUGCCAGUCACCACUUAUGGUUGCUCCGAAGAGAAAAUUAGACCUUGCUUUAGUUUUUUCUUCCAAAAGAACAACUUUUCAUUUCUUAACCAUUGUCAGCAAUUUCCAUAGGCUGGAUUGACUUACCUUCAUGAUGUUUGGAAGUUAAGACAAUGUAUUUGGCACCAGAGGCCUGAAAAAUAUCUGCCCACUGGUUGGCAUUAAAAAAUUUUGCUGUAAA